UUAAAGCUGACAGUCUCCACUUUAACCUCAUAUUAAAUGCUUUAUUUACAGUCCAAUGUGCUAGAAUACAGAGACAAAACAAUAGAAAUUGUGUCACUGUCUGAAUACUUAUGGACUGUUUGGAUAAUAUGGAUACGUGUGGGUUUCGGACUGCUGGAGGCUGGUUGAAAGCACAUGCACCUGGGCUGCGUUAGCUAAUCAGCCCAAGUGCUUACAGGUGUGCUGCACCCUGCAGUUUGGGGCCUAAACCGGGAGCUAACACAGUGAGCGAGUUUAUUUAUUUGAGUUUUGUUAAUUUCAGAUUUGUUUCUUUAAAUAAGAAGGGGUUCAGUGAACCCCCAUUGAAAGGACAGGAGGAGCUGGUCUGCUGGAAAGCAAUCCAGCUACAGAGCGAGGAACUGAAAUAGCUGUCGCUCUGUUUUACUUUCUUUUGUUUUUGUUAUUUUAGUUAGUUUUGCCUGGAGCCUGUGAGGGGGAAGGGUGAAGAUUGCGUUUUUUAUUUCAUGUUUGUGUGGGUGCACUCUCUCUCCAUGCGACAGACAACGGUGUUCCCCGGCACUGCCGCAUCUCCCACACAGGGAUGUCACACUGGAGUGGAACCCCUCUGUAGUGUCCUGCUACUGUAGCCUAACAGAACUACACACUCACUGCAUGUGUUAUUGCACUCUGUGAACUUUGUAGACAGUUGUGCAUGAAAAUCCCAGGAGGGCAGCAGUUUGCAAGAUGCUGGAAUCACUACAUCUGGCACCAUCAAUCACUCCAUGGCCAAAGUCACUUAGAGCACUUGGAUCAGCCAUUAUAAUGUUUGAUUGUACAGCAGCUAAACCUCUUCACCAUGCCUGCAUGCUUUAGACAGUGAGAUGCAGACACAUGAUUUGUCGUAUGGAGGAACAAGCUAUUUGCCUUAAGGAGUAGGUGUACCUAAUAAAGUGGUCACUGAAUGUAUGUAUAUACAGAGAGAUACAGUCAGUGCCAUAAUGUCUGGAUCAUACUUUUUGUUGAUGAGGCUCUGUACUCCACAAUUUAUUUGUAAUAAAGAAAAUGCAAAUGUUGUUGAAGUGCACAAAUUCAGCUUUUAUUUAAUUAUAUUUUCAUACAUUCUGGUUUCAUUCUUUAGAAAUUACAGCACUUUUUUUAUAAAUAUAGUCCCUGCAUUUCAGGGUAUCAUAAUGUUUGGGACAAAUGGCUUCACAUGUGUUUCUGAUUAGUCAGGUGUGUUCAAUCACUUCCUUGGUGCUAGUAUAAGAGAGCUGUCAGUA